CCAAACAUUAGGGGGUUUUGUCAAUGUCUAUGGCUCUUUGACCCAGGGUCAGUCUUUGGUGCAUAAAUUGUGUUUAAACAAAUAUAGAUUCGUCCCAAGCAUUAGUUUGAUUUGGGUGAAUUCACUCAAGAGUGAUAAUCUUAAUGAGAGUUAUGAUUCGAUUAUCAUGGCUAACCCUGAAACUGAAAUUUUUAAUCUCUGGAAACUUGGGAGGGAUGAGCUUGCUUAUCCGCUGUUGAUUGAUCUUUGUGAAAAGACUGGUUUGGAUCUUCCUCCUUGCUUGAUGCGUUUGCCGGCAGACUUAAAGCUCAAGAUUUUAGAAUCACUUCCUGGUGUUGGUAGUGCAAGAAUGGCAUGUAUGUGGAAAGAGAUGAGCUAUUUGGCUUCAAAUAAUGAUUUAUGGAAGCAAAAAUAUGCUGAGGAAUUUGGAACUAAGCCAGAGAUGCAAGGACUGAUUAAUUGGAAAGCAAAGUUUGUUUCAUCUUGGGAGCGCAGGAGGAGGCGCAAGAGGUCAUUUCGGCCUAAAGCCUUGCCCUUCCAGGUCAUAAGACAUGAUCCUAAUCCACUUAUCAUUCCUCUUGCAAUGAUAGGUGGUGAUUAUGAUCGGCUUCCUAGCUUUGGUGUUCCAUCUCCUCUGACACUUCCAGGUCAAGCUCGAGCAUUUCCAGUUCGGCGAAACUUUUCACCGAAUUGUAAUCUUGGAGGAUUUGAUGUAUAGUGAGGUUGAUCAAGGUUUUCUUCAUCAUGGUCAUACAUGUUCAAUGUUAAUAACUUAGUGCUGGAUCUACUAGUAUGAAGGCUCCUAUGAGAGUCCUUUCGUAAGUAAUAAUUUUGUAAACAUAUUCAUAUGUUGUUACAUAUAUAAUAUAUGCUUGAGACUUACAUAAAUUGAUAAUACUUUUGAUAGAUAUGAGGAAUUUUUUUACGCACAUUUUGUUGAAUUGACAAAUCAAAUGAGUAAUUUCUAGACUUCUUGUCUAGUUAUAUUCAUUUUCUGAGCAAGUAAUUCUGGAAUUUGUUAAGCUUCUGCUUUGUUCGAUCCUUAAUAUUUUAGCAACUAUGCAAAAUUUGGAUUUUGCAGUACAACAAAAAUUUAGUAAAAUUCCAUGGAUUUGAUUUGAUUAAGCAAUGGUAAUAUAUGAAAAGAACUUUGUUGUUCUUGUGUUAUAUGUCAUAUCAUUUGUGAUAUAGCUAAAGCAUUUUGUUUCCUUCUUCUGUGAUUGUAUGUAUUAUGAAGCAGGCACUGGAGCCUGUAUUUUAAUAUAUGUACUCUGUGUGUGUGAAAUUAAGAAAAUACUUGCCUUGACUAUGUAUUCAUCUAUAUUUAUAUAUAUUAUGUUUAUAUAUAUUAUGUAUUCAUCUAAACUAGGACUCUAAAUUUGCUGACUGAAAUUGGGUUUUGUUGAGCCUCAACUCAACUUUUUAAAGAUAUUCUCGCAUUUUUUUGAGCUGAGCAUGGAGCAAGGUACGAAUGAUAUUAAAGUUCUAAGAUUCAUGCUGCCGUAUGAUUCAUGCUGCUGAGCAUGGAGCAAGGUACGAAUGAUAUUAAAGUUCUAUGAUUCAUGCUGCCGUAUGAUUCAUGCUGCUGAGCAUGGAGCAAGGUACCGAAUGAUAUUAAAGUUCUAUGAUUCAUGCUGCCGUAUGAUUCAUGCUGCCGUGUGGUCUGGUUGAUCUUUUCAUUUUCGUCUGAUUGGUCUUUUCACUUAAGUAAGGAAUGAGAGAUCUUGACAAUAAUUGUUUUUAUCAAUUUAGUGAAUCUAGAGGAGGGUUAUUUAUAUUGUAUUUGUUUGUAGUUUAUUUCGGUCCAUCAGGCCCUCCAUUGAAUUAAAAAAAAAAAAAAAAAGUACUAUCCAUGUAUUCUAUGCUAAUGUGGCUUGAGGUUAAAAUAUUAGUUUGCUGAAACUUUUUUUUUUUUUUUUCAUUUCAAUAAAGAUAAUUUUUUUUUUAUGUCAUUGUUAUUGAUGGACAUUGAUAGUUCCUUCUUUUAAUAAGGACCGAAAUUAGAGUUAUGGGUUGUAAAAAUUUGUUUUGUAUAAUAUUACGACGAAUAAAAUUGCAUUAACCUUCUCUCUUUGGAAGAUAAGGCCUUAUACAGAGGAUAAUACAUGACGGUUAGACGAGGGAGAAAGCCUUUCUUUGAGUCCUCCCAUCAUGUUGCACAGGGAUGAUUGCAAUUCGAUUUUAAAUCGAAAUCAAAUUAAAAUCAAAUUGAUUAAAAUCUAUAUUAAAUCAUGGUCAUUGGUUUUGGUUCUGAAAUUGUAAUCGAAAUUGUGAAUUUAAGGUUCUUAUUUCGGUUCUGGUUCUUUAUUUUUUAUAUUUUAAUUUUUUAUUUAUGCCAUUAGACAAAUUUUCUAUGUGUUGAAACUGAAAAAAUUUGUUAAUUUAAUAGUCAAAAUAUAAAAAUUAGUUGAAAAUGAAAAUAUUAAAAUUUUAGAAUUACUAAUAAAUAUUAUAUGAGAAUAGAUGUAGAUGUGAGUAAAAGUUUUAAAAUCUCCACAUAGACAUUAUUACAUUUCAAAAUAAAUACUUGUUAUUAUUAAAUUUAGUUUUUAAUAUUUUAAAAAUAUUUGAAGUGGUUUAUUAAAAUAAAAAAAAAUAAAAAACUAAAAAAAUAUUGAAUAAAUUGAGCAUUUAUUUUUGGUUUUUUAUUUUCUAGUAUACGCCAAAGAUGUACUCCAUCUCUUAGACGAGAGACUAAUGAUUCAAGUUGAAGAGUGAUUUUGCUGAAAGCCAUGCCAAAAAUGUCUACUGUUCUUGAUUUGUGCUUCAUAUAAAUGUCUACUAUUCUUUUGUUAAAAAAUCAGAGGACCAAAUUGCUCAUAGUUUAGCACUUGCUACUAGUUUCGUGUCUGGUUUAGGAAAGUGGUUUGUUAAUCCUCGUCUUUUAUUCACGAUGUAUUGCUUAUUAAUGCUAAUAAUAAUUAAAUAAUUUUUUCUUUAAAAAAAAAAAAGAUGUAGACGAAAUAUAAAAUAUAUAUAUUUGUAGUAUAUAUAAAUGUGGGAAUAAGAGAGAAAUAAUGAGAUUAUCUAUAAUGCCAUUGUUGAAAUUUUAAAUGUUUUAAAAUAAUCUUAUUAAUAACCAAUUAAAUUUUGUUUUAAAUAUUAUGCUUAAUAGAUAAUUAAUGUUACGUUAAUACCCUUAAUAAAAUUUAAAAUGUUCUAAAAUAACCUUAUUAAUAUCCAAUUAAAUUUUAUUUUAAAUAUUAUGCUUAAUAAAUAAUUAGUUUGAAUUAUAUACCAAUUCAAUUUUAUUUUAAAUAAUAUGUUUAAUAGAUAAUUAACGUUAACUAUAUAUUAAUAAAUAUAUUAUAUUUUAAUUAUUUUAAUGUUAUAUAGUAAGGGUAUACAUGAAAUUAAAUAUUUUUUAUUUACUAUAUAUGUUUUAAAUUUAUACAAUUUAAGAUUUAAAUUAAAUGCUAGAGCUCAUUACAUAUUACAUAUUUUAUGUAUUUAUUAUAUAUCUUAUUUUGCUCUAUUUAAUUUAAUAGAUAAUAAAAUAAAUUUAUAAUUUAUUUAUCUAUAUUAUAUAUAAAAAUGGAAAUAAGAAAGGAAUAAUGAAAUUUUCUAUAUCAUUUUUGUAAAAUUUAAGAUACUUUAAAUAUAUAUAAUAUCUCUAUAAUUUGAUUGAAUAUUUCUUUAUAGAUAAAUAUAUAUAGAUAAUUAAAUAUUUAAAAUUUUAAAAUUUUACUAUUAUUAUGUUAUUAUGUCUAAUUACGUUUUAUUUCAUUAUAUUAUUAAUAAAAAAAACUUUCAUCCAACCUCUGAUCAGUGAACCGUGAAAUUGGUCAUAUUCUAUAACUGUAAGAGUUGGAUCCACAUGGCAGCUACACAAUUAAACAGCUAAAAGCAAUGAGGCUAAAUAUGUCAAAUGAUAUAGUAGGGAACGGCAGAGUUGGUAAAGAAACCAAAAUCACUGUUCCCGUGAACAGUGAUUUCUGGUUCCAUUUUAGGAUGUAUAUAUAAUUUUUUUUUGCCAACACGCCUUCUUGUUUUUGACGGAACCGUAGUUGACAAAAUCCAUUCGUCACCGACACCAUUUUCACUUUCUUUGUCGUUUCUUUCCACCGCCGUGAAACUCGGACUUAGGUCUCUGCAAUCGAAAGAAAUUGUUAAAUUAGAAGUACCGAACGAGUGUACUUUGCAGCAAAUCAGAGAAACCCUUUCUCUUGCGCUCUCUUUUCCUGGUUCUUCUUCGCUUCUUUUCUCUCUCAACAGAAAAGACGAGCUUGUGUCAUCAUCUCUACAGGAUUCUCUGAUCUCUGUCUGUAUCACCCCCGGUGACCUUAUAUACUUCUCUCUAAGCCCAGAUGAAUUUCCUCCAUCUCAUCAAACGCUAGGUCAAGGAAAGCUCAAAAUCAACAAGGUAAUCUUCAAGAAUCCGAUGCUUCAGAUUUGACUGGAAAACAAGAAACCCUAAUUCAGGCUGUUAAUGUUAAUUUUCAUGAACCCGUAUCAAAAGGAUGAGAAACUCCAAAUCAAAAAUGCCCGUAAAAGAUGCUGAAUCUGUGAGAGGAGCUACUACCUCAGAAACAGAAAAUUUAAUUCAGGAUUUGUCCGUGCAACAACAAUCUAAUUUAGGUGGUGACGCUUCAAAUACUCAUAUAGAAGAAACCAUGGAAAGCCCAGAUGGUAUAGAUAUUGAUACCGAGUCUUCAAAUGCGAAUGGUAAGAGGAUAUUUGAGCCAUAUUUCUUGCAGAGCGUAUUGAGGGAAGAAUUGGGUGAAAUUGUUACUGACAAUAAGCUUUUGUUUGUAGCAAUUCAUGCUAUUUUCGUAGAAUUUGGUUUUGUUGGGAUUGAUUCAGUAUCUGGAUUGCGAGUUGAUCUCUUUCGUUUUUUGGAAGAGCAGUCCUCCAUGUCUUUCACUACUUCAGUUAACUACACUGUUCCUGAACUCCUGGCUAAUGAUAAUGUGACUGAAUCAGUUGUCCUGAAUUUCCAAACAUUAGGGGGUUUUGUCAUUGUCUAUGGCUCGUUGACCAAGGGUCAGUCUUUGGUGCAUAAAUUGCGUUUAAACAAAUGUAGAUUCGUCCCAAGUAUUAGUUUGAUUUGGGUGAAUUCACUCAAGAGUGAUAAUGUUAAUGAGAGUUAUGAUUCGUUUAUCAUGUCUAACCCUGAAACUGAAAUUUUUAAUCUCUGGAAACUUGUGAGGGAUGAGCUUGCUUAUCCGCUGUUGAUUGAUCUUUG
rnacentral:lncRNA from 1 species